rnacentral:miRNA from 1 species
AGCGACGUCGGACCGCGACGGC